GUGUGUGUGUCUUUUCCUAGGCUCCAGGAUUCCAGGAUCCAAACAGGAUACUUACUGAGGAAGAGAUCUACCUGCUCUUCUCCUGGGUCUGUUUAAGAGCAGCCCAAAAGACACGUGAGGCCAGUGCCAACUGUGCCCUGCUGAGUGGCACCCUGUGUGCCAGCGGAGACGACCUGCCCGUCCUGUCCUACAGUGA
rnacentral:lncRNA from 1 species